GGGCUCAUGGUCUAGGUGGUUAUGACGCCGCCCUCACACGGCGGAGGUCGCCGGUUCGAAUCCGGCUGAGCCCA
rnacentral:tRNA from 1 species